rnacentral:tRNA from 1 species
GUGAGCGUAGCUCAGCUGGUUAGAGCGCCGGUCUGUGGCACCGGAGGCCGGGGGUUCGAAUCACCUCGUUCACCCCA